UGUCGCCGCGGCGGGGCGGGGAGCGAGAGUGGGCCGCGGAGGCCGGCCUUCGGGCUCCAUGGACGGGCGCCGCGUCCCUGCACAGCCCGCCGCAGAGGUACGGCCGGGGCAGGGGCGCGGGGCCACCGCGGGCCCGCGGGGGGCCGCUCCACCUGCGGGGCGCGUGACCGUAAGGCUGGCCUCUCUGCAGUCAGAGGUCUGAGCUCUGCCAUGGGGAUAGGGGUGUCUUUAUUACUGCAGUUUUCUCUAACACCUGGGGGCUACCGGAGUGUGGGCCGAAGCAGGCGCUGCAGCCGCGGAAGUAUCCCCAGGAACAUCCCCAAGAGGAGCUGGAAAAAGCCUCAUCCCCAGCUCUGCAGUCUCCAGGGUAGAGUCUGGCCUUUGCUGUGCUCCCAAACCACGCCACAACAGGGGUGCACGGGCGUCCCCAUCCCGGCGGAAGGAAAUGGCCCUUUCUCAUAUCCUGGGGUCUUCCCUGUGCACAGUCUGACACUGGGAAUGAGUGACCUUUGUGUUCCCUGAGAAGAGAGAGUGCGCUCUAGGGAAUUUAGAAGGAUGUGUCUGGAGCUUGUGAGCAGGCACAGAAGGGCCCUUAGGAGCCUAACUGCUUCCUUCCUCCUUCCGCGGAGGAGGCUCCUGUGCAGGAAUCUGGGCUCCCCUGAGCUGUGGAAGAGCUGAACAUGGGGCAGCCCCUGGCGAGGUUGGGGCAGGACCGGGCAGGGGACUGAGAUUGCAGUCUCAUCUUCCCUCCCCUUCUAUUGCCCCAGUAAUCUCCAGCACCCCGAGGGAGGCAGAGCCGGUGAUCAGGCCCCGAGGGCAGCAGGCUGUGGGUGUUCCUUGGAUUCAGGGAGAGCCUUCCUUCCUGCAAUGUCCUAAUUUGUGUGGGUGGAAGAGGGCAGGCGGGCAGAAU
rnacentral:lncRNA from 1 species